rnacentral:rRNA from 1 species
GAUGAACGCUGACAGAAUGCUUAACACAUGCAAGUCUUUGGCGAAGCUGUGCUUGCACCGCCUAGCCAAGGCGGACGGGUGAGUAACGCGUAAGGAACUUGCCCUGCAGUCAGGGAUAACAGACGGAAACGACUGAUAAGACCUGGUAAAGUCAGGCGGACUCAUGUCCAGCCUGAUGAAAAGAGAUGCUGCAGGUGAGCCUUGCGUCCUAUUAGCUUGUUGGUGGGGUAACGGCCCACCAAGGCGAUGAUAGGUAGCCGGCCUGAGAGGGUGGACGGCCACAAGGAGACUGAGAUACGGCCCUUACUCCUACGGGGGGCAGGCGUGGAGAAUAUUGGACAAGGGGGGCAACCCUGAUCCAGAAGUUCUGUGUGGAAGAUGAAGGUUUUCGGAGUGAAAAGGGCUUUCAGCAGGGAAAAAAAAAAUGACGGUACCUGCAGAAGAAGCGACGACUAAAUACGUG